AGCAAUUCCUCUCCUACGAAAACCAAAGGAUCAAUACCUCAGUGCAAAUCCUUAAGGAAAGGCAACGUGAAAGACAUGCCAAGUGCAAUGUUUCCUGACUGGCGCCUGUUUCAAACUAUGGGAAAAAGGUAAUGAAAAUUUAAAAAGUGAAGUUGAUAAUAAAUAAUGACCAGUAACUGUGGCUGGCCCUCUUGCCGCGGUCUUGCAGCUUUGUCCUGAAAGCCUUUUGUGUGCUGGCAGCCUCCCGUUAGAGGGGCUCCAGAGUUUUAUCUUAAAUUCACCUCAGCUUUCCCAGGCACCUGUAUGUUAUUGUGUGAUCCAUGAACAGGACUGUUGCAGCUAGAAUAUUUUCAGACUGCAAGAAGACAAAGCUCCAGUUUGAAAAACAAAAAACAAACAAAAAAAAUGCAGGAGAGCAUGGAAUACUGUUUUAACUGAAUGUCACCUCAGGUCCAAGUCCUCUACUUACAUGCUUGGAUAUGUGAGACUGUCUUAGUCAUUUGAAUUCUCUGUCUUGGUACUGAAUUUUACACCUCCUAUCUUAUUUUACUGAAUCUGGUGGAGAACCAAAGCCAGCUGGUUUUAACUUUGUUGGUAUAGCUGCUGCUACAAUUUGGAAAUGAUUUGGGGGGGGCUGAUAUUAAUACAUAUUAAAAAGCAAACCUGCGAUGGACAUUAGAUGACUGAACUCUUGCAAGACUUAAUUGCAAUUUCUGCCAUUCUGUUAUUUUCUAUUAAGUCUGUGUUAAAAUAGUUGUCAGAUUUUUUUCCUACUAAAUCUACCAAUAUGAGAGUACAAUCAGUACUACAAAAUGAAAAGUAUGGUCUGAAAUGUAAGCAUUAAGUUUCUGCUUUAACUACCCAGACAGGUGAUUUACCAUUUCACCAAGAACGUUCUUGUCUCAUUACAAAGAGGGCAGGCUGGAAGAUACCUAGGCGGGAGCAAGGGAGGCACAAUCUUUCUACAGAACAAACAUUGUGGCAAUAUCCUGGCCUUAUCUUAAAUUGCCUCAGCGGGUAACACAGACGCAUGCCAUCAAUGGUGGCAGUCUCUCCAGAUUUCCUAUGGGGAAAAAAAUACCGCUCUUCUGCCACAGCGACACAGGGGUCACUGUGUGCAAGGAAAAGCUGCAUCAUGGCUGCCAAGCUGCUGUGGGCUGCACAGACCUGGUUUCAGAAGAUGGAGACCCAAAAAGAAAGGGCCGAAGAACCAGUUGUUCUUACUGAUAGAGUAACACUCAAUGCUGCGAAACGGGUCACCUGAUCCGCCUCUACCACCGACACAGAACAGCACACCUGAAGAAGACAAAACAGCAGUGGAGAACUGUCCCUUGGCCCAGGCUGAGCGGAGGACGGAGACAAGUGCCACUGCCUGUACUGCAACUGGGCAUGCCUGACAUGAUGCAGGCAGCAUCUACGGCUUUACCAGGACAGCCUGUGUCAGGUUAGUCUGCUGAGGGUAUGAAUUUGCAGCUCAUUGCUAUGCCAGUGUAAGAGGGCUUUUGCUAGAAUGGCUCAUUUUGAAUGGCUAGUCAAAAAGCAAACACUGUCGCCAUGAGCUAAGUGUCUAUUAAGGAGGUACUGCUAGUGCAGUAAUGCCCUUCUCUGGUGUGGAUGACAGACUACAGGAUUAAAAAAAAAUAAAAUGUUGAGAGCUAAUUGUUUCCUUCCCAUGGUUCCCCAUCAGAGUGGUGACCAGGCUGAGGAAUGGAAGGCUCUUUCCAGGUUAGGCUACAGGUGGUCACUACCCAGAGCAAUCCCCAGUGACAGGGCAGAUCUGAAAUAAGGUCAGCCUCUCCAAGACUGCUUCAAAAUGUCCUCCCCGCAAUCAUUUACGUCAGCAAAUCUUUCAUUUGUCCUUGUGAGAAAAACAGGAAUAUGAAGUACAAUCAGGCACAAAGGUAGGCCAGGUGUCAGCGGGGAGGAACUGAAGUAAACCAUCAUCUGACUUCCUAAGGUUUGGAGUCAAUGCUGUCAAGCAGCUCCCAGUUAGCUCAGCAGCAACAGUGAAGAAGUCCAGUAUCUCUGGUGCUUCUCAGAGCAGCAGGAUGGUGCUGUUACACAGCUGGCAAGUCUCUGUGUCUUCAAGUAAGCAAGUGUCUCUGCGAGUUCUUCCUUAGCCACUUGCUUUCAUCCCACCUCUUCCUUUACUUUGGCCUGGCUUAUUUUAGGCUGAUUAAAAGCACCACCCUAGUUCUGCUAAUAGACUCAUGAGGUUAGUGAUGUGGUAAGAACUGAAGGCUGACAAAUUCAGAACCUCCUAACAGCAAAACCCGUAAGGCUGGUUAUGAUGUGGCUGUUAAGAAGCCCAGUCAUGUUAUCUGCUAGCAAUCAUGUCCAAAUCAGCUGAUGGCUCCAUAUAUUCUGGCAAAUAACCCAUAUUUAUAGGAGGGGGGUUUACUUUUUCAUUGCUUUGUCAUAGACUCUGGUUUCCAUGAAUAUAAUAAAGCUGUUAAUCUUAUCUGCCAGCAUAACUUGGCAUUAAAAAUCAAUCUACCUUUUUUCUUUUUUUACAUCUCAAACUAUAAUUGUCUGUAAACUUAGUUAUACUGUACUAACAUUUUUUUUGUACCAGAAACCUCACGCUGAUCUAGAUGAAACUGAAGGUUUUUGGAAGCCACCUAAUAAACAGUUGUAACCUUUUACCAGGAAAUGUGAAAAAUGAUGCAUGAAGACAAUGACUGCAGCAUGUUAGAAGACCUCUCGUUACUCACAGAACACUGAUAUUAGUAACUCUGCCAAAUGGGAAAUAUUCGAGUUGUAGUUCUGUGACAACUGAAACAGCACAGUUGAUCCUACCUGGUAAGAUACAUAGCACAUUUAGCAGUGCGUGGCAUUUGGCAGGAGGAGCUCCAACGGGUGUUUAAAUUUCAGCUGAGUGACCUUCUGAUACCUGUAUGUGUUUGUUUCAGAAGCAGUGAACUUGCAUCAAAUCUAGACGAUUAAACUGCAGACUCCUUCUGGAUCCUACAGAAAUUGGAGAGUAUGACUUCCUCCUGAUAUUCAAGGUAUCUAACCUGCUUCCACAGUCAACUCACAACUGUAAAUACCAGAUGAGGUCACUGGAGGACAAGAGUUUAUGGAGGUGCUGUGGUGACACGCUCACAAAGUCUUCACACUCCACCACCUCUGUGAAAUGUUCGCAAGCAUACUGAUCAGCCAUGUCCAUCAAGUCAAUGCGGUUGUGACUCUCUGCAAAUGCCCUGACUGCCAGGCAGUUGGAGGGAUGGAAGUGCAGUUUCAUAUAUUCACAGCAUGCCUUUGCUACCAGUUCCACCUGAAGAAUGCAAGCAGCAUAAAAGAGAGGCUGGACAUUAUCC